UCCGUAGGUGAACCUGCGGAGGGAUCAUUACCGAGUUUAC
rnacentral:rRNA from 2 species